rnacentral:rRNA from 1 species
CCUACGGGCCGCACCAGUGGGGAAUAUUGCACAAUGGGGGAAACCCUGAUGCAGCCAUGCCGCGUGUAUGAAGAAGGCCUUAGGGUUGUAAAGUACUUUCGGUGAUGAGGAAGGUGCUUGGUCUAAUAGGCCAAGUAAUUGACGUUAAUUACAGAAGAAGCACCGGCUAACUCCGUGCCAGCAGCCGCGGUAAUACGGAGGGUGCGAGCGUUAAUCGGAAUGACUGGGCGUAAAGGGCAUGUAGGCGGUUGAUUAAGUUAGAUGUGAAAUCCCCGGGCUUAACCUGGGAAUGGCAUCUAAGACUGGUCAGCUAGAGUCUUGUAGAGGGGGGUAGAAUUCCAUGUGUAGCGGUGAAAUGCGUAGAGAUGUGGAGGAAUACCGGUGGCGAAGGCGGCCCCCUGGACAAAGACUGACGCUCAGGUGCGAAAGCGUGGGGAGCAAACAGGAUUAGAUACCCCUGUAGUC